rnacentral:rRNA from 163 species
GCGACCCCAGGAUGGGCGAGGCCACCCGCUGAGUUUAAG